rnacentral:rRNA from 1 species
AUUGAACGCUGGCGGCAGGCCUAACACAUGCAAGUCGGACGGUAGCACAGAGGAGCUUGCUCCUCGGGUGACGAGUGGCGGACGGGUGAGUAAUGUCUGGGGAUCUGCCCGAUAGAGGGGGAUAACCACUGGAAACGGUGGCUAAUACCGCAUAACGUCGCAAGACCACAGAGGGGGACCUUCGGGCCUCUCACUAUCGGAUGAACCCAGAUGGGAUUAGCUAGUAGGCGGGGUAACGGCCCACCUAGGCGACGAUCCCUAGCUGGUCUGAGAGGAUGACCAGCCACACUGGAACUGAGACACGGUCCAGACUCCUACGGGAGGCAGCAGUGGGGAAUAUUGCACAAUGGGCGCAAGCCUGAUGCAGCCAUGCCGCGUGUAUGAAGAAGGCCUUCGGGUUGUAAGGUACUUUCAGCGGGGAGGAAGGCGAUGUGGUUAAUAACCGCGUCGAUUGACGUUACCCGCAGAAGAAGCACCGGCUAACUCCGUGCCAGCCGCCGCGGUAA